rnacentral:rRNA from 1 species
GGCAGAGGGUGCAAACGUUGUUCGGAAUUACUGGGCGUAAAGCGCGUGUAGGCGGCCCUGCAAGUCGGAUGUGAAAUCCCACGGCUCAACCGUGGAAGUGCAUUCGAAACUGCAGGGCUAGAGUCCUGGAGAGGAAGGUGGAAUGCUUGGUGUAGAGGUGAAAUUCGUAGAUAUCAAGCGGAACACCGGUGGCGAAGGCGGCCUUCUGGACAGUGACUGACGGCUGAGACGCGAAAAGCGUGGGGGAAGCAAACAGGGAUUAGAAACCCCCUGA